ACGAACGCUGGCGGCGUGCUUAACCCAUGCAAGUCGAACGGAAAGGCCCUGCUUUUGUGGGGUGCUCGGGUGGCGAACGGGUGAGUAACACGUGAGUAACCUGCCCUUGACUUUGGGAUAACUUCAGGAAACUGGGGCUAAUACCGGAUAGGAGCUCCUGCUGCAUGGUGGGGGUUGGAAAGUUUCGGCGGUUGGGGAUGGACUCGCGGCUUAUCAGCUUGUUGGUGGGGUAGUGGCUUACCAAGGCUUUGACGGGUAGCCGGCCUGAGAGGGUGACCGGCCACAUUGGGACUGAGAUACGGCCCAGACUCCUACGGGAGGCAGCAGUGGGGAAUAUUGCACAAUGGGCGGAAGCCUGAUGCAGCAACGCCGCGUGCGGGAUGACGGCCUUCGGGUUGUAAACCGCUUUCGCCUGUGACGAAGCGUGAGUGACGGUAAUGGGUAAAGAAGCACCGGCUAACUACGUG
rnacentral:rRNA from 1 species